CAAUGCCCCUCGUCACUGUUCUAUCACGUGAGAAUCCAAUGGAUGCUUUUCUUAUCUCUCUCCCUUUCUUUUUAUGUCUAUCUCAUGCCCUCCUUCCUUUCUCUCUCUCAUGUAGCUCUCUACUUCCUCUGUCUUGUUUUCCCUAGACCUAAGCUUAAGUAUUUUGUUUGUGGCAAAGAGAGGAGCCAUGAGAUUGGGAGAGGAAGGCAAGUUGCGAGACCCAUCUUCAAUAGGAUAUCGUCACUGAGGGUAAUAUCCUAUGAAUAUGCAGCGAAUGCCAUGUCGCUCGCUCAUGAUUUCAGGUUGAGGGUGUGAUAAUUAUUUUGUGUCUUUUUUCCCUUGACUUAUUCUUGACUCAUUAUCUCGAGUCGUUCUUGAUUUAUUUAUGCCUCGUCAUCCAUGAAGGUGUUAAGGCUUGAUA